rnacentral:misc_RNA from 1 species
UACGAAGGGUGCUAGCGUUGUUCGGAAUCACUGGGCGUAAAGCGCGCGUAGGCGGCUUUUCAAGUCAGGGGUGAAAUCCUGGAGCUUAACUCCAGAAUUGCCUUUGAAACUGUAAAGCUGGAGUAUUGGAGGGGAUAGCGGAAUUCCUAAUGUAGAGGUGAAAUUCGUAGAUAUUAGGAGGAACACCGGUGGCGAAGGCGGCUAUCUGGACAAUUACUGACGCUUAGGCGCGAAAGCGCGGGGAUCAAACAGG